UGUUAAAAAUUUCAUCCAUUUAUACCAUUAAAAACUAGCUAGGCUGACGGAAUAACCAUACAGUGUAUGUGUAUCUCAUGCUAACAUAUAGGAAUCAGUUUUUUAUAGUAGAAACUAAUGGAAUUUUUAACA
rfam:Gossypium raimondii Chr10_contig_50, whole genome shotgun sequence.